CCUACGGGUGACAGCAGUGGGGAAUAUUGCACAAUGGGGGGAACCCUGAUGCAGCCACGCCGCGUGAGUGAUGAAGUAUUUCGGUAUGUAAAGCUCUUUCAGCAGGGAAGAAAAUGACGGUACCUGACUAAGAAGCUCCGGCUAACUACGUGCCAGCAGCCGCGGUAAUACGUAGGGGGCACGCGUUAUCCGGAUUUACUGGGUGUAAAGGGAGCGUAGACGGGAGAGCAAGUCUGAAGUGAAAGCCCGCGGCUCAACUGUGGAACUGCAUUGGAAACUGCCCGGCUAGAGUGCGUGCGGGGGAGGCGGAAUUCAUAGUGUAGCGGUGAAAUGCGUAGAUAUUAGGAGGAACACCAGUGGCGAAGGCGACUUACUGGACAGUAACUGACGUUGAGGCUCGAAAGCGUGGGGAGCAAACAGGAUUAGAUACCCGAGUAGUC
rnacentral:rRNA from 1 species